rnacentral:rRNA from 1 species
CCCUUUAUUUUGAGAUUGUUCUGAAAACAACAUUUUUUUAGACGUUGAAUUAGAUACAACAUUUUAAAAGACGUAGUACUGGGCACAACGUCUUUUUAAGAUUUUGUGUUGUAUAUAACGUUACCAUGUACCACUGCCAGCCGGCGAGCUCUAAACUCCGAACGCUCCACCGCCUAGAAAGCUUUUCUAGGCGGCCGGCUGCGCAUCGUCGCAGGUUAACGUUUGGCCACGGAAACGGUUAUAUACCACAAGUUUUCUUUUAUAUCUCUUUAUAUACCAGCAAAGACACUUAUUGUCUUUAUAACAUCUGGCUUGACAUUUAUAAGGUUUCCCUAUCCUAAUGGGUUAGGGGCGAAGGAGGUUCGGCGUACCGGAUAGCGGCCUCUUUAGGCACGGCGUGUCAGUUGCGGCGUGGCAGCGGCAGCUGCCCGCCGGUUGUCGGUCGGGCCGGUACGGAAGCCCAGUCCGUUGGCGUGCAACGGUUACGGCGCGGCCGCGUAUCGGUGCGCGAUGUGGCGGCGUGGCGCGGCCCGUCUUGGAGGCGACGCGGUACCCGGCGGUACGCUGGCCCUCUCGGUGCGGUCCUCCAAACCGAAGGCGGAGCGGAACGCGCACCUGGCCCGACGCGUGACUAGUGUUCCGGAGCCGGCACGCGGGCAGCGGAAGCGACUGCGCUGCGCCAGCGACGGCGGUGCGAGGCCACCGCUGGUACGGGCGGCACGUCGGCACGACGCGACAACAACACCGCACACUCCCGCGAGGGCAGGCAAGUCGCUCCGGUGGCGAACCUCGGCGGAGGGGCUCUUCAGGGGCUUCUGCCGGCACCGAGACACGGAGCGGACUUCCCACACAGGAACUAGCCACUCCUCGAAUAUAACUUGUGAAUAGGUCUAAAACCAUAGGUCUUGUAGUUUGCCACCACGAGAGUAUACUACCUAGGGACUGAAGUAGUUUUGCACUUAACAAACGAGUCAGUGUACCAGAAACUCUUCUUUCUCCCUCAUGAUUUGAUGUCGGAAGGUACCGCAGACCCGUGACACUAAGACCCGUGACGCUA